GCUCAAGUGGUCUAACGGUUAUGAUGCGACCUUCCCAUAACGCCAGACAGGUCGCGAACGGGGUUCGACUCCCCGCUUGAGCA